rnacentral:rRNA from 1 species
CCUACGGGCGGCAGCAGUGGGGAAUAUUGGACAAUGGGCGAAAGCCUGAUCCAGCCAUGCCGCGUGUGUGAAGAAGGCCUUCGGGUUGUAAAGCACUUUCAGUGGGGAAGAAAGCCUUGGGGCUAAUACCCUCGAGGAAGGACAUCACCCACAGAAGAAGCACCGGCUAACUCCGUGCCAGCAGCCGCGGUAAUACGGAGGGUGCGAGCGUUAAUCGGAAUUACUGGGCGUAAAGCGCGCGUAGGCGGUCUGAUAAGCCGGUUGUGAAAGCCCCGGGCUCAACCUGGGAACGGCAUCCCGAACUGUCAGGCUAGAGUGCAGGAGAGGAAGGUAGAAUUCCCGGUGUAGCGGUGAAAUGCGUAGAGAUCGGGAGGAAUACCAGUGGCGAAGGCGGCCUUCUGGACUGACACUGACGCUGAGGUGCGAAAGCGUGGGUAGCAAACAGGAUUAGAUACCCCGGUAGUC